rnacentral:rRNA from 1 species
UACGUAGGGUGCGAGCGUUGUCCGGAAUUAUUGGGCGUAAAGGGCUCGUAGGCGGUUUGUCGCGUCGGGAGUGAAAUCCACUGGCUUAACUGGUGGCUUGCUUUCGAUACGGGCAGACUGGAGGUAUGCAGGGGAGAACGGAAUUCCUGGUGUAGCGGUGAAAUGCGGCAGAUAUCAGGAGGAACACCGGUGGCGAAGGCGGUUCUCGUGGGCAUGGUCCUGACGCUGAGGAGCGAACGUGUGGGGAGCGAACAGG